UACGUAGGUGGCAAGCGUUGUCCGGAUUUACUGGGUGUAAAGGGCGUGUAGCCGGGUUGACAAGUCAGAUGUGAAGUCCUGCGGCUUAACCGCAGAACUGCAUUUGAAACUGUUGAUCUUGAGUACUGGAGAGGCAGACGGAAUUCCUAGUGUAGCGGUGAAAUGCGUAGAUAUUAGGAGGAACACCAGUGGCGAAGGCGGUCUGCUGGACAGCAACUGACGGUGAGGCGCGAAAGCGUGGGGAGCAAACAGG
rnacentral:rRNA from 1 species